rnacentral:rRNA from 1 species
UACAGAGGGUGCAAGCGUUGUUCGGAAUUAUUGGGCGUAAAGCGCGUGUAGGCGGCUUUGCAAGUCGGGUGUGAAAGCCCUCAGCUCAACUGAGGAAGUGCGCCCGAAACUGCAGAGCUUGAGUGCCGGAGAGGGUGGCGGAAUUCCCCAAGUAGAGGUGAAAUUCGUAGAUAUGGGGAGGAACACCGGUGGCGAAGGCGGCCACCUGGACGGUGACUGACGCUGAGAUGCGAAAGCGUGGGGAGCAAACAGG